rnacentral:rRNA from 1 species
AUUGAACGCUGGCGGCAGGCUUAACACAUGCAAGUCGAACGAGUGGCGGACGGGUGAGUAAUGUCUGGGAAACUGCCUGCUGGAGGGGGAUAACUACUGGACACGGUAGCUAAUACCGCAUACCAUCAGAUGUGCCCAGCUGGGAUGAGCUAGUAGGUGAGGUAACGGGUCACCUAGGCGACGAUCCCUAGCUGGUCUGAGAGGAUGACCAGCCACACGGGAACGGAGACACGGUCCAGAGUCCUGCGAUAGGCAGCAGUGGGGAAUAUUGCGCAAUGGGCGCGAGCCUGGUGCAGCCAUGCCGCGUGUAAGAAGAAGGCCUUCGGGUUGUAAAGUACUUUCUGCGGGGAGGCGUUACCCGCAGAAGAAGCACCGGCUAACUCCGUGCCAGCAGCCGCGGUAAUAC